AUUUUAAAAUGAGUAAGCUAAAAUUUAAAAGAAAAGAGAAGUCAAUUGUAUAUUCGUAUAAAAAUGUAUUAUUUUAAUUAAAAUGAAUAUUUUAAAAAGAAUUAAUAAAUUUUAAUGAAAUAAAAGUUGAGAUAGAUACAUUGGCAUGAGAACAAAAACUAGAAUUUAUAGGUUGUCGGCGCUGAAGAAGCUGAGAACCAUGUCCAUCAACCAUACCAGGGAGCAUUCCUGGUACCUACUUAUUCCAUUGAUGAAAACACAUCAGUAACAUUUAUAUGCAUAGUAUACUGCCAUUGUGCAUUUGGGUCUUUCUUCUUCUGUUUUUUCUUUUUUCUAUCCUCAUCAUCUUUUGAUUUCUUUUUAGAAGUAGAUGCCUUAGAAGGCAGGUCCUACUUUAUUUCCUUCUUA
rnacentral:lncRNA from 1 species